ensembl:lncRNA
GGUUUUAUUAUCCAACCCUUAUUAUGAAUAAUAACAAGAGGUAAUAAUGAGAAUCCAGCGUUCAGGUCAAGAUCAAAAAACCUUUUUUGUUUAAUUUGUGAGAAAUAUUAAUUUAUACAGUGGGCUGCAAAUUAUCAUUCAAUGUUUAAAAGAUCUCUGCAUAGUGUAAAAAGGAGAAAAAAAAUUGCAUAUUCAAAAUAAUCUCUGUGGUCAGUGUAGUCAGUCUACGUAGUUAACAGCAUUGUGAAACACUUUCAGACAGUUUGCCAAAUUGACAUACAAUAAAGGUUGCUAAGCUCUACAUGAUUUAUCAACACAAUUGCAGCCAACUAUUGGCCUUAAUAUACAAAGUACCUUAAAACAUCGUUGUCAUUAUACAAAUGUGCAUUUUACGCAAACAAUUAUUAAAUUAGAAAUAUAGAAUUAUAUGACAAUGUUUAGUUGCUUUUUCGAGAGUUAUGUUCCAAACCUGAAAAUUGUAAAAGUUCUAUACUUCCUUUACAGGAAAUCAAGUGCCCUAUGACAGCUACACCUAGACAUAUGUGCUGCACCCCAAACCCGCCCACCCAAAUAAUGCAUUUUUAGCAAAAAAAAAAACAGUAAAAUGCACACAUUAGGAUGAGGUGCAAAAUCAACAUUGCUGCUUUCUUCACAGAAUAGAACAGUUGAUUAAAAAUAAAUUUCAAAAUAAGAGCCACAACAGGGUUUCAUAUGCAAAACUCACUGGCUCUGUAGCAAAUCAGUUCACAUUUUGUCUGGACCUCUUGUACGUUAAAAACAUUGACUCACGCCCAGAGUUAAGGCUGGUGCCAGUUGGCACCCCAUCGCCAUCGGAUACGACAGCGAAAACAUAAACGCACCUGGUCCGACAACUACGUUUUUAAUUAGUUUGACUAAGUACCGCACGUGCCAAUUAAAAAAAAGAAUAAACUACCACCAUCCGUUUCUGCCAACGGAUUUCCUGAUCUGGGGUUUGAAAGUGUCUAUUUAAAACAACGCAUCGUACACAGUGUAAAGUACUGGGAAAGGCCUCGUCCGAUUGGCUCUCCUUUGAGAGUAACUACAGUGAUUGCGGGAGAGAGGUCGCGUCGAGGGGAGGAUCUCGCGGCACGCCCGCCGCGGGCCGGACUCGGAAUCUGCUCUAGUGUUUCACUCUCGCUACUCUACCGACCAGCGCCCCCCCGG